rnacentral:rRNA from 1 species
GACGAACGCUGGCGGCGUGCUUAACACAUGCAAGUCGAACGGAAAGGCCCUGCUUUUGUGGGGUGCUCGAGUGGCGAACGGGUGAGUAACACGUGAGUAACCUGCCCUUGACUUUGGGAUAACUUCAGGAAACUGGGGCUAAUACCGGAUAGGAGCUCCUGCUGCAUGGUGGGGGUUGGAAAGUUUCGGCGGUUGGGGAUGGACUCGCGGCUUAUCAGCUUGUUGGUGGGGUAGUGGCUUACCAAGGCUUUGACGGGUAGCCGGCCUGAGAGGGUUACCGGCCACAUUGGGACUGAGAUACGGCCCAGACUCCUACGGGAGGAAGCAGUGGGGAAUAUUGCACAAUGGGCGGAAGCCUGAUGCAGCAACGCCGCGUGCGGGAUGACGGCCUUCGGGUUGUAAACCGCUUUCGCCUGUGACGAAGCGUGAGUGACGGUAAUGGGUAAAGAAGCACCGGCUAACUACGUG